GCUUACGGCCACACCUCCCUCGAGCACGCCCGAUCUCGUCUGAUCUCGGAAGCUAAGCAGGGUCGGGCCCGGUUAGUACUUGGAUGGGAGAGACCGCCUGGGAAUACCAGGGCUGGUAAGCC
rnacentral:rRNA from 1 species